rnacentral:rRNA from 1 species
UACGGGGGGAGCAAGCGUUGUUCGGAUUUACUGGGCGUAAAGGGCGCGUAGGCGGCACCGCAAGUCGACUGUGAAAUCUCCGGGCUUAACCCGGAAAGGUCAGCCGAUACUGCGGGGCUAGAGUGCAGAAGGGGCAACUGGAAUUCUCGGUGUAGCGGUGAAAUGCGUAGAUAUCGAGAGGAACACCGGCGGCGAAGGCGGGUUGCUGGGCUGACACUGACGCUGAUGCGCGAAAGCUAGGGGAGCGAACGGG